rnacentral:lncRNA from 1 species
AAGGAAAUGUUUUGCUCUUCUAUUAGUGAACACCUGGAUGACAGACUUGAUGUCCAGGACUCUUGCUCCUGCCAAGCAGAUUUUCUCAUGUUUUAAACUUGAAGGGCUUCCGUGCUUUCUGUCAUGUGAUGGUGGCUUUCAUGGGUCAGCUGACCUGGUCCAUGGGACACCCCUUGAACUAAGGAUAAGUUAA